UCAAGUGAGGUAAGGGCAUAUGGUGGAUGCCUGGGCACUUGGAGCCGAAGAAGGACGCGGCAAGCGGCGAAACGCUCCGGGGAGCCGCAAGCGGGCGAGGAUCCGGAGGUAUCCGAAUGGGGGAACCCACUCGAGGUAAUACUCGAGUAUCCACUGAUGAACACAUAGUCAGUGGAGGGGAACCGCGCGAACUGAAACAUCUAAGUAGCGCGAGGAAAAGAAAGAAAUGAAUCGAUUCCCUAAGUAGCGGCGAGCGAAAGGGGAGGAGCCCAAACCUGGCACGGGAGUGUCAGGGGUUAGGGCCCACCGUAGAAGUGAGUGAGUACUCUAGGCGAACGGACCUGGAAAGGCCGGCCGGAGAAGGUGAAAGCCCUGUAGUCGAAAGGGGAAAGCUUGCUGGUGGGUACCAGAGUACCACGGGAUAGGCGACCCUGUGGGAAGGCGGGAGGACCACCUCCUAAGGCUAAAUACUCCCAAGUGACCGAUAGCGGAUAGUACCGUGAGGGAAAGGUGAAAAGAACCCCGGGAGGGGAGUGAAAUAGAACCUGAAACCAUAUGCCUACAAGCAGUCAGAGUCUGCGAGAGAGCAGAUGAUGGCGUACUUUUUGUAGAACGGGCCGGCGAGUUACGGUAGCAAGCGAGGUUAAGCGGUAAGCGGAGCCGAAGCGAAAGCGAGUCCGAAAAGGGCGAAAGUUUGCUGCUGUAGACCCGAAACCGUGCGACCUACCCAUGGCCAGGGUGAAGCCGGAGUAAGAUCUGGUGGAGGCCCGAACCACGUUGGCGUUGAAAAGCCAUGGGAUGAGCUGUGGGUAGAGGUGAAAUGCCAAUCGAGCACGGAGAUAGCUGGUUCUCCCCGAAAUAGCUUUAGGGCUAGCCUCAGGGUAGAACCUAUGGAGGUAGAGCACUGAAUGGGCUAGGGGGCCAAGUAGGUUACCGAACCCUAUCAAACUCCGAAUGCCAUAGGAAGGAACCUGGGAGUCAGACUACGAGUGAUAAGAUCCGUAGUCGAGAGGGGAACAGCCCAGACCUCCAGCUAAGGUCCCGAAGGGCAUGUUAAGUGGUAAAGGAAGUGGGACUUCGAAGACAACCAGGAUGUUGGCUUAGAAGCAGCCAUACAUUUAAAGAGUGCGUAACAGCUCACUGGUCGAGAGGUCCUGCGCCGAAAAUGAACGGGGCUCAAAUAUGCCACCGAAGCUGGGGCUACCGCGGAAGCGGUGGGGUAGGGGAGCGUACUGUACGGGUAGAAGGCAAAGCGUAAGCUAAGCUGGACUGUACAGUAGAGAGAAUGCCGGCAUGAGUAACGAGAGUAAGGUGAGAAACCUUACCGCCGGAAGCCUGAGGUUUCCUGGGGAAGGGUAAUCCACCCAGGGUAAGUCGGGGCCUAAGCCGAGGCGAAAGCGUAGGCGAUGGGGAACCGGUAGAGAAUCCGGUACCACCGAGGGCCGCAAAGAGAAGUGGGGACGCAGCGAGAUAGGUGGAGCGUGCGGUUGGUAGAGCACGUCCAAUCAGGCACCGAAGGGUACGUAGGCAAAUCCGCGUACUGGCAGGGGCCUGAGAAGGGGAGCCGGAAGGCGAAGCCACCGAAGCAGCUGCCGAGAAAAGCCGCUAUCGAGGUCCAAGGUGCCCGUACUGCAAACCGACACAGGUAGGCGAGGAGAGGAUCCACAGGCGAGCGGGAGAACCCUCAUUAAGGAACUCGGCAAAAUGACUCCGUAACUUCGGGAGAAGGAGUGCCGAAAGGCCGCAGAGAAGAGGCCCAAGCGACUGUUUACCAAAAACACAGGUCUCUGCUAAGUCGGAAGACGAAGUAUAGGGGCUGACGCCUGCCCGGUGCUGGAAGGUUAAGGGGAAGUGUGAGAGCACUGAACCGAAGCCCCAGUGAACGGCGGCCGUAACUAUAACGGUCCUAAGGUAGCGAAAUUCCUUGUCGGGUAAGUUCCGACCCGCACGAAAGGCGUAACGACUUGGGCGCUGUCUUGAUGAGGGGCCCGGUGAAAUUGUAGUACUCGUGAAGAUGCGAGUUACCCGCGAUUGGACAGAAAGACCCCGUGGAGUUUUACUGUAGCCUGUCACUGGAUUUUGGUAAUUCUUGUACAGGAUAGGUGGGAGACGGAGAAGGUAGGGCGCCAGCCUUACUGGAGUCGGCGUUGGGAUACCACCCUGGGAUUACCGGAAUUCUAACCUAUAGCCGUGGAGCCGGCGUAGGGACAAUGGCAGGUGGGCAGUUUGACUGGGGCGGUCGCCUCCUAAAGGGUAACGGAGGCGCCCAAAGGUUACCUCAGCGCGGACGGGAAUCGCGCGAGAGAGUGCAAAGGCAGAAGGUAGCCUGACUGCGAGAGAGACAUCUCGAGCAGGGACGAAAGUCGGGCUUAGUGAUCCGGCGGCAGUGAGUGGGAACGCCGUCGCUCAACGGAUAAAAGCUACCCCGGGGAUAACAGGCUGAUCUCCCCCAAGAGUCCACAUCGACGGGGAGGUUUGGCACCUCGAUGUCGGCUCAUCGCAUCCUGGGGCUGAAGUAGGUCCCAAGGGUUGGGCUGUUCGCCCAUUAAAGCGGUACGCGAGCUGGGUUCAGAACGUCGUGAGACAGUUCGGUCCCUAUCCGUCGCGGGCGAAGGAAACUUGAGAGGCACUGCCCCUAGUACGAGAGGACCGGGGUGGACGAACCGAUGGUGUACCAGUUGCACCGCCAGGUGCACAGCUGGGUAGCCAAGUUCGGAGGGGAUAAACGCUGAAAGCAUCUAAGCGUGAAGCCCGCCUCAAGAUUAGGUUUCCCACCCGUAAGGGGUAAGACACCUCGAAGACCACGAGGUAGAUAGGCCGGGGGUGUAAGAGUGGAAACACUCUUAGCUGACCGGUACUAAUCAGUCGAGGACUUGACCGA
rnacentral:rRNA from 1 species